AGAGUUUGAUCAUGGCUCAGAACGAACGCUGGCGGCAGGCCUAACACAUGCAAGUCGAGCGCGCCCUUCGGGGUGAGCGGCGGACGGGUUAGUAACGCGUGGGAACGUACCCUUUUCUAAGGAAUAGCCUCGGGAAACUGAGAGUAAUACCUUAUAAGCCCUUCGGGGGAAAGAUUUAUCGGGAAAGGAUCGGCCCGCGUUAGAUUAGAUAGUUGGUGGGGUAGUGGCCUACCAAGUCUACGAUCUAUAGCUGGUUUUAGAGGAUGAUCAGCAACACUGGGACUGAGACACGGCCCAGACUCCUACGGGAGGCAGCAGUGGGGAAUCUUAGACAAUGGGCGCAAGCCUGAUCUAGCCAUGCCGCGUGAGUGAUGAAGGCCUUAGGGUCGUAAAGCUCUUUCGCCAGGGAUGAUAAUGACAGUACCUGGUAAAGAAACCCCGGCUAACUCCGUGCCAGCAGCCGCGGUAAUACGGAGGGGGUUAGCGUUGUUCGGAAUUACUGGGCGUAAAGCGCACGUAGGCGGAUCAGAAAGUUGGGGGUGAAAUCCCAGGGCUCAACCCUGGAACUGCCCUCAAAACUCCUGGUCUAGAGUUCGAGAGAGGUAAGUGGAAUUCCGAGUGUAGAGGUGAAAUUCGUAGAUAUUCGGAGGAACACCAGUGGCGAAGGCGGCUUACUGGCUCGAUACUGACGCUGAGGUGCGAAAGUGUGGGGAGCAAACAGGAUUAGAUACCCUGGUAGU
rnacentral:rRNA from 1 species